rnacentral:sRNA from 1 species
UCCUAGCCCAGAUUUUAAUGGAAAACUUUUUUGUUUUCUUUUUUCUAGUUUUUUUACUUUUAAAACGCGACCUAAGAAGCGCUUUUAAUAGUUUUAAAAACUUAAAGAUGAACCAAAAUUUUGUAAUGGAAAGCUGGAUUUAGC